AGAGAAACAUGGCAGUGAGCAGCAAGUCGUGGCUACAGACCCAACCAGCCACUGGUUGGACUUCCCCACCGUAUAUAAAUAAGCACCUUUCAGCAGCUCAAACCCAGAACAACAACAGGGAAGCAUGGCUGCAUUCAUUUUAGGGACAGCAAGUUAACAUGCUUUUGUUUCCCUGCAUAACUAAGUUGCAAAUUUGGCUUCCCUCAAGGAAAGAAAUUCUAUUUCCGUCCCCUUGAACCACUAUGUUGAACUAUUUUGUUUGCCCCAGUCUGACUUAAAAAAAAUACACAUAAAUCAAACUCUAAAUGCAGAAUUGUUACUUAAGGAAUCAGAAGAAUGAGGAAGAACAACAGAACUCUGAACGUGCAGGACAGCGCACUCCUCACUGCGGGAAACGCAGCACUUGGCUGUUGGCACACUGUGGUUAUGGACAACUGCAAGCUGGUCAGAAGGGACAGGUGAGGAAGGAAGGGAGGUGUUCCUUCUCUAUCAUGAGAGGAGCAGAGUGCUUAUCAAGAAUGGCUACAGACAAGUUGAAAGCUUACGGGUGGGAGUUAAGAGACUAAGGAAACAAAGGGAGCAAGAAGAAAAUGCACCAGCAAAGGAAGCAGGGACAGGUACCCCGGGAGGAGUACAGGGAUGCUGCUGGGCUGUGUAGGUCAGGAUGGCUGAGGCCCAACUGGAAGUGGGCUUGGCAAGGGACACAAAGAACAAGAAAGUGUUCUACAGGUACAUCAGCCAGGUACUGACAUCCUUAGGGGUCAGUACUGGAACUGGUGUUCUUUAAUAUCUUCAUCAGUGGGACCGAGUGUGCCCUCAGCAAGUCUGUGGGUGACACCAACCUGUGCGGUGCAGACAACGUGCCAAGGGAUGAGAUGCUGUUCAGAGAGACUUAGACAGGCCAAGCAGCAGGCCCAGGAGAGCCUCAUGGGGCUCAACAAACCCAAGUGCAAGGUCUUGCAACUGGGUCAUGGCAACUCCCGCUAUCAGUGCAAGCUGGUGGAUAAAGGAUAGAGCGCAGCCCUGAUGAAAAGGACUUGGGGGCUGUAGGGAAACUGCUAGGUCACAAUGUGAAUUGGUGAUUGAGCACCUGGUUGAAGGGGUGUGGCUGGGCCAGGGAGAACAACCAAAUUGUUUGCAUCUGUGCUUCCCAUAUGAUCAGAAGGGGUGGAGCCAGGGUGGAUCCACCCUGAGCUCACAUAAGGGCCAGCCAUGGAAGGGUGAGCAUCUCUUGGGUUACUUCCUGGGGAAUGCUGAGUACUUAGAGAGACUUUUCUCCAGUUGGACAGGAGAGGCUGCAUGGCGAAAACAGCCCUACUUUUCCAGAGUUAGCAGGUAGAACAACGUUCUUCAACCCCAUCCAGGAACAACCAUAGAAUAUCUUACGUUGGAAAGGGCCCACAAGGGUGAUCGAGUCCCGCUCCUGGCUUAGAGAACACUGAAGUGUCUAAGGCACGGAUUUCCUCCUCCAGCUACCUGGUUCUUAACAGCUUUAGUAGAGGAAAGCAGAAGAGCAACACACCUGAGCAACACUUUGAGCUGAAGUGCCUACACAGACUGCAGAAGGCAAGUCGCUGCUGUGCAUCUCUGACUGUGCUGUAUUUUAGGAGAUGGAAUGGCUAAAAAAAUAUAAAUGAAAAACAAAGCAAAAGCCCCAAGCCCCAGCCUCCCCCAGCCUGGAUUUUACUACGCUGCACUAUAAAGAUACCUUUUCUGAUUUAGAGGUUUCUGUGUUUAAGACUGUGGUAGCUAAUAAAUCCCUGACAUCUGAACUGUUGGGAAGCAGCGUGCACAAUGAAACAAUAUUGUGGUUGCAGGGUGAUCAUAAUAUAUAUUUCUAAGGUUAGUUGUUCCACGUGUGUAUUUAAAAUUCUUUUGUUCUUUGCUUCUCCCUGUGAAUCUAAACAGUGCUCAGAUGAAAGCUGUGGAGUAGGAGUCUGACUUAAUGGUGCCUACUUGGCUCUGUAGCAGGGCUAUAAGAGGGUAAUAAAAUCCUUGUAGGAUUUGAUGAAAUCAGAUAGAAUGAAUGUAGCAUUAAACAAAACAAAGGACCCACAGAUAAGCUGAAUUCUUGUUUCACUUCAAUUAUUUCCCUUUUAAUCCAGUGAGAAGAAGAAAAAAGAUGACAACUCUGCCUUUCUGUUGUUUGAGCACUGGGAUAAAGGUAGGGUCAGUGCCCAAGCCAACUGGAAAAUGAGAUUCUUUCUCAUGUUUUCACUCCAAGCUGAAUUGAAGCCUAUUUUCUGUUAGCUAGUGGGAAUCCUUUGUUGGCUUGAAUUAACAGCACUGCAAUCAGAGAGCAGAGAACUGCACAGUAUCCAUCUUGCAUGAAAGCUUGCAAGAAUUUGUUGUAGAUCUGGCUGAGAAGUCUGUCUGUGAUGUCCAACAGCCUUCAGCAUCCAGAAGAGCUCUCUUACAUGACAGCACAGCAAGCUUCUUA